rnacentral:rRNA from 1 species
GACGAACGCUGGCGGCAGGCUUAACACAUGCAAGUAGAAGGGAAAGGACCUGCUAUUGUUGGUUUCUCGAGUGGCGAACGGGUGAGUAACAGGUGAAUAACCUGCCCUUCACCUUAGGACAACUUCAUGAAACUGGGGCUAUUACCCUAAAGGAGCUCCUGCUGCCACGUGGGCGUCGGAAAGGUUCGGCGGUUGGUGAUGGACUCGCGGCUUAUCAGCCUGUUGGUGGGGUAGGCGCUUACCAAGGCUUCGAAGGGUAGCGGGCCUGAGAGGGGGACCGGCCACCUUGGGACUGAGAUACGGCCCGGAGUCGUGCGGGAGGCAGCAGUGGGGAAUAUUGCACAAUGGGCGGAAGCCUGAUGCAGGAACGCCGCGUGCGGGAUGGUGGCCUUCGGUUUUUAGGGCGUUUUCGCCUGUGACGAAGCGUGAGUGAAGGUAAUGGAUAAAGAAGCACCGGCUAACUACGUG